rnacentral:lncRNA from 12 species
CGUGACCAACAGAUUUUUUUGGUCUGGAUUUAUUUCAUUUCCUUCUUCAACUCUGUUUCUUAGGUAUAACUUUUGUUUUGGUGUAUGAAAUUGAUUACAGACACAGGAAUACUGCACCAUGAAGUUAAAGCCUUUGUUAAAAUGUGAGCAGCAAUCAGCUUUACAGAUCUAUUCCCUAAAUGCAGACACUGGAAGAAGGAUUCAGGUAUGGAUUUCUGCACCAGAAAUAUCAGUUUAUGUAAGAAGAAUUAAUUGUGUGAAUUGAGGAGUAUGUCACUGCCUUUC